CCCCUCUCAGAGUCACACCUGGAGAGUUUCCAGUACUCUACCAGUCUUGGCUAAGGGAGGGAGAGUCAAGCAGAGGCCUACCCAUUCCAUUCCUAGCUUGGCCAGUGGCUAAGGGGCCAGUGGGAGGCAAUCUGCUACAAGU